rnacentral:rRNA from 1 species
GCCUAGCCGUAAACAUAGCAGUUAUCACUCCGCUGUUCGCCAGGGGACUACAAGCCCCAGCUUAAAACCCAAAGGACUUGGCGGUGCUUUAGACCCCCCUAGAGGAGCCUGUUCUAGAAUCGAUAAUCCCCGUUCCACCUCACCCUCUCUUGUUCUUCCCGCCUAUAUACCGCCGUCGUCAGCUUACCUUGUGAAAGACAAAUAGUAAGCAGAAUUGGCAAAGCCCAAAACGUCAGGUCAAGGUGUAGCGUACGAGAGGGGAAGCAAUGGGCUACAUUUACUGUUUCAGUAAACACGGAUCUUGCACUGAAAAGAGCAUAUGAAGGAGGAUUUAGCAGUAAGGGGGGAUCACGAGAGCCCCUCUGAAAACGGCCCUGAAGCGCGCACACACCGCCCGUCACUCUCCCCAACGGACCACUGCACAUAAAUAAUAUCUGCCCACCACAAAGGGGAGGCAAGUCGUAACAUGGUAGGCGUACCGGAAGGUGCGCUUGGAAAAACC